CCUACGGGAGGCAGCAGUGGGGAAUCUUGCGCAAUGGGGGCAACCCUGACGCAGCCAUGCCGCGUGAAUGAUGAAGGCCUUAGGGUUGUAAAGUUCUUUUGCCCGUGACGAUGAUGACGGUAACGGGAGAAUAAGCUCCGGCUAACUUCGUGCCAGCAGCCGCGGUAAUACGAAGGGGGCUAGCGUUGUUCGGAAUUACUGGGCGUAAAGCGCGCGCAGGCGGUUCGAUAAGUUAGGGGUGAAAUCCCUGGGCUCAACCCAGGAAUGGCCUUUAAGACUGUCGAGCUAGAGGACGAGAGAGGUGAGUGGAAUUCCCAGUGUAGAGGUGAAAUUCGUAGAUAUUGGGAAGAACACCGGUGGCGAAGGCGGCUCACUGGCUCGUUUCUGACGCUGAGGCGCGAAAGCGUGGGGAGCAAACAGGAUUAGAUACCCUGGUAGUCCACGCCCUAAACGAUGAGUGCCAGGUGUCGGGAAGCUUAGCUUCUCGGCGCCGCAGCUAACGCCUUAAGCACUCCGCCUGGGGAGUACGGCCGCAAGGUUAAACCUUAAAUGAAUUGACGGUGNGAGNGCGACGAGACACGAGGAGGAG
rnacentral:rRNA from 1 species